rnacentral:tRNA from 1 species
AGUUAAUGAGCUUGAUAAGCUUAUGUUUUGAAAACAUACGAUAGAACUAAUACUUUCUAUUAACUU